CAUCAACUUCUGGUCACGUGCUAAGCUGAGGAAACUACACACCGCCGUUGGUUCAUACAACCGGGAAGGAGCAACAGAGAACCUAGCACCGAUUCAAGCAAGCAACGAGAAGACUCGAUCCUAAGACAGGAGGGGGUGUCAAAAUCUUUUCUAAAAAGAUGGAAAGGGGGACCAGAAUGGACUCAGUUGAGGCUACAAUCGAGCGACCUGGUGGAUUAUUGAGGUUCUUGUGUAUCUUAGAUCACAUAGAAUGGCUUUAACCCUGGUGCCACCGCAGACUCUCAUUUGCUUUGGUACAGCAUUAUCCACGUCCUUUUUAUCGCAAGACUAUACACCAUCGGUGUUACUGCGGAUCUCAGCCCUCAUGUGACUACAUGUUUUAUUUUAAAUUGCUUUCUGCCAUGUUACAUUUACUUGAUUGUUGUAUGUACAUACUACUUAUUGUAUUGAAUAGAAAUUCAUUGAUUUCCACGGACCAUACUACGGAUCUAAAUAAUAUUUCUUGUUUCAUACUGAGCUGUAUAACACCAUGUUUGUCAUGAUGUGGAAUACUGUCAUUCACUGUAUAUAUUUUUCUGUUUGCACUUCAGUUUGAAAACAGCCUUGUAGGCCGAAACGUCACGUCUAAGCCGCAUAACUAAUAAAAUUCACUAAUCAACAAUA